rnacentral:rRNA from 1 species
CACCUCUAGCAUUACCAGUAUUAGAGGCAAUGCCUGCCCAGUGACAUCAGUUUAACGGCCGCGGUAUUCUGACCGUGCAAAGGUAGCAUAAUCACUUGUUCUCUAAAUAAGGACUUGCAUGAAUGGCCACACGAGGGUUUUACUGUCUCUUACUUCCAAUCAGUGAAAUUGACCUUCCCGUGAAGAGGCGGGAAUAAAAAAAUAAGACGAGAAGACCCUAUGGAGCUUUAAUUAACUAAUCUAAAAGUUAAACAACUUAACCACAAAGGGAUAACAUUAAACUUAAUAUAGAUUAGCAAUUUUGGUUGGGGUGACCUCGGAGCACAAAAAACCCUCCGAGUGAUUUUAAUCUAGACAGACCAGUCAAAACAGCUAUAAAUAUCACUUAUUGAUCCAAAAUUUUGAUCAACGGAACAAGUUACCCUAGGGAUAACAGCGCAAUCCUAUUAUAGAGUUCCUAUCGACAAUAGGGUUUACGACCUCGAUGUUGGAUCAGGACACCCAAAUGGUGCAACCGCUAUUAAAGGUUCGUUUGUUCAACGAUUAAAGUCCU